CCCAAUCCCACCCUCCCUCCCUCUGCUUGCAUGCCACUCCCCAAGUCCACUAAUGGGGAGGUUCUCCUCUCCUUUCUGAUCUUAGUCUGUCAGUUCACAUCAAAAGUGGCUGUAUUGUCCUCUACUAUGGCCUGGUAAGGCUGCUCCCCCCAGAGGGAGGUGAUCAAAGAGCAGGCCAAUCAGAUUAUGUCAGAGGCAGUCCCUCUUCACAUUACUAUGUAACCCAAUUCUUGACAAAUUAAACUUAUCAAAUCCUCAGUUGUUUUACAAAUUUAUCUCAAAGAGGAGUAUGGGGAGCUAGGGGUGUGGCCCAGUUGUAUAUACUACCAAAUCUGUAUGCACAAGCCAAGCAUUAUAAAAAGAAGGAAAGAGAGAGAGAGAGAGAGAGAGAGAGAGAGAGAGAAGAAAGGAAGAAAGAAGAAAGGAAGAAGGAAGGAAGGAAGGAAGGAAGGAAGGAAGGAAGGAAGGAGGGAAGGAAGGAUGAGGAACAUGAGAAAUGUAUAGGGUUAUGCAUUUUUGUGACUAUCCUGACUAUUAAUAGAUGUAUAGUUCUUAUUGUUAAAAUGAAACAGUAUUCACUAUAAAUUCAAUGACCACUUAUUGUUAGUCUAAGUACUGCAAGUAACAUUUUGAAAUAUGUUGAAAGUAAUAUUCAACAUAUACAAACAGAUAAUUAAAAUAAAUCUGUUAAAAAGUUGUUUGAAAGAAAAUUUAAAGGAUUUAAGAAAUGGCCCAGCAAUUAAGAGCAGUUGCCUUUCUUACAGAGGACACAGGUUCAGUUCCCAGCACUCUGAGGGAGCAUGGCGGCCUCAGCUGUCUGAAACUCUAGGCCCUGAGAUCCCACUCCUCUGGCCUCUGCAGGGAACUACACACACACACACACACACACACACACACACACACACACACACACUAAAAAUAAGCCUGUAAAAUUUUUUUUUUAGGAAAAAAAAUUCAUGGAGAGACAAAUGGGAAUAAGAUAAGCAAUGUUAUUUAGUUCCACAAGCCAUUUCUAAACUAUAACGAGUGAUGAGUAUUCUUGGUUGUGAGCCUGAAUACAUCUGGAAUUAACUAACUCCCCCCCACACCAAAUAGGGCACACCUGUGAGAUAUUUUUAUUUAAUUUGAAGUGGGAAAUCUACUUCUAAUCCAGAUCUUUGAGAUGGAAAGACACAUCUCUAAUCUGGGUCAUGCCUUCUUCUGGAAGCCUACAUGAGGACAUGAAAGAAGAAAAAUUUUGCUCUUUGCCUGCUUGCUUUACCUCACUAGGAAGUCCAUUCCUUCACUGGCAUUAGAGCAUAUACUUCUGCAGGAGUCCAGCAGAAGACCCGCUGAGAUAUCCAGCCUCAUAGACUGAGCAACUUCUGGAUUCUUGAACCCUCCACUCAUAGGCAGCCACUGUUGGAUUAGCUGGACCACAAUCCUGUAUCCGGCUUCUAACAAUACAAAAGAAAUGAGAGACAGGUUACCUUCUCCCAGAGAUGCAUGCUGAGACAAGAAAUGAUCUGCAAGUUGAAGAACAAUGCGAAACCUUAUUAUAAUGGAAGAGUAUAGGUUAGGGUCCUCCACAUAAGACCUCAUUAUACCUCUAUGAUCUACCAUGCCAAAGUAGCUAACUAAAUUUGGGGUUGGAAUGUUGAAUGUGAAUUUGCAAGAGAUGUACGGAGUCUGUUCAUAACAGAUGGUUCUGAACUUCCAUCUAUACACUAUGGAAAGUACAAAAGGGGCCAACCUUCUUUAGGAAAAUUAGCUUAUUUGAGUAGUGGGGGUUGAUGGAAUUUUGUUUGUGCAUAAAAAAAAAUUAAAUCUGUAGUAUAAUGACAAAUAAAGCAAGGUAAUCAAGGCUCAAAAGGACAAAUGACCUCUGUUCUCUUUCAUCUGUAGACUAUAGCAUUAGCAAUUUAAUAUGUAUAUCUAGAUGGGGAUAAGGAGGGCAAAGGCCAGGAACCUAGAAAGGAGCCAGUGAGAUGAGGGAAAGGAGACUUUAAGGGAAAGGCAUUGGGAAGAUGGCAAAUUACAUGGAACAUGAACUGGAAAGGGGAAUGCUAGAGCCAAAGGGGAAAAGCUGACAAAGGGGGAUAGGGGAACAGGGGUGGCAAGUUAAGAGAAUGGAGGAUGUAUGAAAAUUCCAUAAGGGAGUCUGUAAAACCUUGUCAGCUAAACUUUUACACAUUUACGUGAACAAGCCUUUCCCUGCGUGUGUGUUUGUGCAUGCCUGGUGCCCACAGAGGCCAGGAGAAGGCAUUGGAUCCCCUGGAACUGGAAUUACAGCUCUGAGCCACCAUGUGUGCUCUGGGAACAAAAUUCAGCAAGAGCAGCAAGUGCCCUUAACUGCUGAGUCCCUGCAAACUAAGUUUUAAGAAGAAAUACAAAUGCCCAACAAAUAAAGAUAUGAAAAAAUGUUUAAUCAAAA